CACGUAGGGGGCAAGCGUUGUCCGGAUUUAUUGGGCGUAAAGAGCUCGUAGGCGGUUCGGUAAGUCGGGUGUGAAACCUCCAGGCUCAACCUGGAGACGCCACCCGAUACUGCUGUGACUCGAGUCCGGUAGGGGAGCGUGGAAUUCCUGGUGUAGCGGUGAAAUGCGCAGAUAUCAGGAGGAACACCAGUGGCGAAGGCGACACGCUGGGCCAUACCUGACGCUAAAGCGCGACAGCAUGGGGAGCAAACGGG
rnacentral:rRNA from 1 species